rnacentral:rRNA from 1 species
CCUACGGGUGGCAGCAGUGGGGAAUAUUGCACAAUGGGGGAAACCCUGAUGCAGCAACGCCGCGUGAAGGAAGACGGUUUUCGGAUUGUAAACUUCUAUCAAUAGGGAAGAAAGAAAUGACGGUACCUAAAUAAGAAGCCCCGGCUAACUACGUGCCAGCAGCCGCGGUAAUACGUAGGGGGCAAGCGUUAUCCGGAAUUACUGGGUGUAAAGGGAAAGUAGGCGGGAAGGUAAGUGAUAUGUGAAAGCCUUGAGCUUAACUUAAGGAUGGCAUAAGGAACUAUCUAGCUAGAGUACAGGAGAGGUAAGCGGAAUUCCUAGUGUAGCGGUGAAAUGCGUAGAUAUUAGGAAGAACACCAGUGGCGAAGGCGGCUUUCUGGACUGAAACUGACGCUGAGGCUCGAAAGCGUGGGGAGCGAACAGGAUUAGAUACCCGGGUAGUC